rnacentral:tRNA from 2 species
GCGGACGUGGCGGAAUUGGCAGACGCGCUAGAUUUAGGUUCUAGUGUCUUUGAGACGUGGGGGUUCGAGUCCCUUCGUCCGCA